rnacentral:tRNA from 1 species
GCGGAAGUGGCGGNNACGCACUGGAUUUAGGUUCCAGCGCCGCAAGGUGUGCAGGUUCGAGUCCUGUCUUCCGCACCA